CUGGAGGCUGUAAGGCUCUCACUGGGUGUGGUUUUGAAAGGAUUCCUCUCUAAAACAGUCAACUCUCUCUUCACCAAUCUCCUGGAACUGGCCAAAGCUCUCUGCACUAGCCCUGCUAACACACUCGCUUUCUACCAACUCGUAUUUCUCCUGACACUGGAAUUCUCUUAUUAAGGGCUCUCAGAUAUACUGGUCUUCCUACACCAGCUGCAAGAGCUUGCUGUGAAGGAGAAAGGCCUUGAGGCACAUCACAGAGUGAUGCUACAUACUACAGUGGCGGGUGUGCUGUAUAUAGCGUCCAAGAUUAGUCGAAACGAGGUACUUAAGACGCACAUCGAUGGAGUGAUUGCUAAGGAGGGAGACAGCUCCGAAGGAGUGGUAGUAAGAAGAAGUGCAGUCAUCUAGACAUGGAGGAGAAGCUGCUCAAGAGAUCUCAAAUCAUGGAUCCUGGUGUCAUGGCUGAGCUGGAGUGAGAAUUGGAACUGGCCAACAGCAAGGCAGAUUUUGUGUGUGUUAUGUCACUGUGAUCGACCCACCCCAUGCUGGAGGUUGAUGUGAGUUAAUUGAGACUGAGAAUGAUGCCCUGUCAGUAAUGAACCCGAACACUCACUCAUGCCUUCAAGAAGUUUAGGCACACUGCUCUGCUCCAGCUCCUUACAGCGAUCCAGUGCCUUCUUGAGGUCUUCCUCCAUCACAAGUCUCUCUUGCACAGCAGACUGGGUAAUAGAUUGCAUGGUGGUCAUGUACACACACACAGGUAUACAGAUACAACCAUCACAGCAUCGUGGUAGUGGUACAGUAGUUAUAAUAAAGGUACAGUAGACUCUCGCUAUUCCGACUCUCUGAAGUACGGCCUGAAAUGUGGCCAACUCGCUAUUCUGUAUACUUGCUGCCCCAAACUAGUAAUUUUAUACGUAUACAUUUUGGGUGUGGUUUAGCAGAAAAACUGUAUGGGGGGAGUGGUUGGGA